rnacentral:rRNA from 1 species
GAUGAACGCUGGCGGCGUGCCUAAUACAUGCAAGUCGAGCGAACAGACGAUGAGCUUGCUCCUCUGACGUUAGCGGCUGACGGGUGAGUAACACGUGGAUAACCUACCUAUAAUACUGGGAUAACCUCGGGAGACCAGAGCUAAUACCGGAUAAUAUAUUGAACCGCAUGGUUCAAUAGUGAAAGACGGUUUUGCUGUCACUUAUAGAUGGAUCCGUGUCGCAUUAGCUAGUUGGUAAGGUAACGGCUCACCAAGGCGACGAUGCGUAGCUGAUCUGAGAGGGUGAUCGGCCACACUGGAACUGAGACACGGUCCAGACUCCUACGGGAGGCAGCAGUAGGGAAUAUUCCGCAAUGGGCGAAAGCCUGACGGAGCAAUGCCGCGUGAGUGAUGAAGGUCUUCGGAUCGUAAAACUCUUUUAUUAGGGAAGAACAAAUGUGGAAUUAACUCCCCACGUUUUGACGGUACCUAAUCAGAAAGCCACGGCUAACUACGUG